GAUGAACGCUGGCGGCGUGCCUAAUACAUGCAAGUCGAGCGAACGGACGAGAAGCUUGCUUCUUUGAUGUUAGCGGCGGACGGGUGAGUAACACGUGGAUAACCUACCUAUAAGACUGGGAUAACUUCGGGAAACCGGAACUAAUACCGGAUGAUAUUUUGAACCGCAUGGUUCAAAAGUGAAAGACGGUCUUGCUGUCACUUAUAGAUGGAUCCGCGCUGCAUUAGCUAGUUGGUAAGGUAACGGCUUACCAAGGCAACGAUGCAUAGCCGACCUGAGAGGGUGAUCGGCCACACUGGAACUGAGACACGGUCCAGACUCCUACGGGAGGCAGCAGUAGGGAAUCUUCCGCAAUGGGCGAAAGCCUGACGGAGCAACGCCGCGUGAGUGAUGAAGGUCUUCGGAUCGUAAAACUCUGUUAUUAGGGAAGAACAUAUGUGUAAGUAACUGUGCACAUCUGGACGGUACCUAAGCAGAAAGCCACGGCUAACUACGU
rnacentral:rRNA from 1 species